ACGGCCGUACCAUGCUGAAUAUACCGGUUCUCGUUAGAUCACCGAAGUCAAGCAUCAUUGGGCGCGGUCAGUACUUGGGUGGGGGACCACCUGGGAACACCGCGUGCCGUU
rnacentral:rRNA from 1 species